UUGGGGAAGCCAAAGCUUCGGGAAAAGCUUAAGAACAAAGUCUAGCUUAUUUUCAUUAGGGUAAAGGCUCAAAUAUGCCAUUAAACUAUCAGAAAUGGCUCAUUUAUGCCAAUAAAAGUUUGGAUCGGUUAUGCCACCACCGUUAUAAAACAGGUUCAUCCAUGCCAUUACUUGUUAAUGAUGGUUUUUCAAAAAUAGCUUUGCCA
rnacentral:lncRNA from 1 species